UGGGGAAUAUUGCACAAUGGGCGCAAGCCUGAUGCAGCAACGCCGCGUGAAGGAAGACGGUUUUCGGAUUGUAAACUUCUGUUCUUAGUGAAGAAGAAUGACGGUAGCUAAGGAGCAAGCCACGGCUAACUACGUGCCAGCAGCCGCGGUAAUACGUAGGUGGCAAGCGUUGUCCGGAAUUACUGGGUGUAAAGGGAGCGCAGGCGGGGGAACAAGUCAGUUGUGAAAUCCAUGGGCUUAACCCGUGAACUGCAGUUGAAACUGUUCUUCUUGAGUGAAGUAGAGGUUGGCGGAAUUCCGAGUGUAGCGGUGAAAUGCGUAGAUAUUCGGAGGAACACCGGUGGCGAAGGCGGCCAACUGGGCUUUUACUGACGCUGAGGCUCGAAAGUGUGGGGAGCAGACAGGAUUAGAUACCC
rnacentral:rRNA from 1 species